rnacentral:rRNA from 1 species
AGAGUUUGAUCAUGGCUCAGGACGAACGCUGACGGUGUGCUUUAGGCAUGCAAGUCGAACGAGAAAGCCCUUCGGGGUGAGUAGAGUGGCGAACGGGUGAGUAACACGUGGGCAACCUGCCCCUCGCAGGGGGAUAACCGGAGGAAACUCCGGCUAAUACCCCGUAAGCUUUCAGGGUCGCAUGGCCCUGUAAGGAAAGGUAGCUUCGGCCAUCCGGCGAGGGAUGGGCCCGCGGUGCAUUAGCUAGUUGGUGGGGUAACGGCCCACCAAGGCGACGAUGCGUAGCUGGUCUGAGAGGAUGAUCAGCCACACUGGGACUGAGACACGGCCCAGACUCCUACGGGAGGCAGCAGCCAGGAAUCUUGGGCAAUGGGCGAAAGCCUGACCCAGCAACACCGUGUGGGCGAUGAAGGCCUUCGGGUCGUAAAGCCCUGUUGAUAGGGACGAAGGGCGAAGGGUUAAUAGCCCCUAGCCUGACGGUACCUUUCGAGGAAGCCCCGGCUAACUACGUGCCAGCAGCCGCGGUAAUACGUAGGGGGCGAGCGUUGUCCGGAAUUAUUGGGCGUAAAGAGCGUGUAGGCGGUUCGGUAAGUCUGCCGUGAAAACCUGAGGCUCAACCUCGGGCGUGCGGUGGAUACUGCCGGGCUAGAGGACGGUAGAGGCGAGUGGAAUUCCCGGUGUAGCGGUGAAAUGCGCAGAUAUCGGGAGGAACACCAGUAGCGAAGGCGGCUCGCUGGGCCGUUCCUGACGCUGAGACGCGAAAGCUAGGGGAGCGAACAGGAUUAGAUACCCCAGUAGUCC